rnacentral:rRNA from 1 species
UACGUAGGGUGCGAGCGUUAAUCGGAAUUACUGGGCGUAAAGCGUGCGCAGGCGGUUUUGUAAGCCAGAUGUGAAAUCCCCGGGCUUAACCUGGGAAUGGCAUUUGGGACUGCAAGGCUUGAGUGCGGCAGAGGAGACUGGAAUUCCUGGUGUAGCAGUGAAAUGCGUAGAUAUCAGGAGGAAUACCGAUGGCGAGGGCAGGUCUCUGGGCUGACACUGACGCUCAUGCACGAAAGCGUGGGGAGCAAACAGG